rnacentral:rRNA from 1 species
GAUGAACGCUGGCGGCGGGCCUAAUACAUGCAAGUCGAGCGGACAGACGAGGAGCUUGCUCCCCUGACGUUAGCGGCGGACGGGUGAGUAACACGUGGAUAACCUACCUAUAAGACUGGGAUAACUUCGGGAAACCGGAGCUAAUACCGGAUAAUAUAUUGAACCGCAUGGUUCAAUAGUGAAAGACGGUUUUGCUGUCACUUAUAGAUGGAUCCGCGCCGCAUUAGCUAGUUGGUAAGGUAACGGCUUACCAAGGCAACGAUGCGUAGCCGACCUGAGAGGGUGAUCGGCCACACUGGAACUGAGACACGGUCCAGACUCCUACGGGAGGCAGCAGUAGGGAAUCUUCCGCAAUGGGCGAAAGCCUGACGGAGCAACGCCGCGUGAGUGAUGAAGGUCUUCGGAUCGUAAAACUCUGUUAUUAGGGAAGAACAAAUGUGUAAGUAACUAUGCACGUCUUGACGGUACCUAAUCAGAAAGCCACGGCUAACUACGUG